GAUGAACGCUGGCGGCGUGCCUAAUACAUUCAAGUCGAGCGAACGGACGAGAAGCUUGCUUCUCUGAUGUUAGCGGCGGACGGGUGAGUAACACGUGGAUAACCUACCUAUAAGACUGGGAUAACUUCGGGAAACCGUAGCUAAUACCGGAUAAUAUUUUGAACCGCAUGGUUCAAAAGUGAAAGACGGUCUUGCUGUCACUUAUAGAUGGAUCCGCGCUGCAUUAGCUAGUUGGUAAGGUAACGGCUUACCAAGGCAACGAUGCAUAGCCGACCUGAGAGGGUGAUCGGCCACACUGGAACUGAGACACGGUCCAGACUCCUACGGGAGGCAGCAGUAGGGAAUCUUCCGCAAUGGGCGAAAGCCUGACGGAGCAACGCCGCGUGAGUGAUGAAGGUCUUCGGAUCGUAAAACUCUGUUAUUAGGGAAGAACAUAUGUGUAAGUAACUGUGCACAUCUUGACGGUACCUAAUCAGAAAGCCACGGCUAACUACGUG
rnacentral:rRNA from 1 species